AAUGGACCAAGGUAAUAAUCUCCGGGAUAGAGGUCAAAAUAGCAACCCUCGUGGAAGAGGAAAUGCAUCAAGAGGUGAUUGGUAUCGUGGCAGGAAUGGAAAAUGGAUGAACCGUAACUGGAGAGGAGGUGGAGGUAGGAGUAGAGGAGGCAGAGGAGGCGGGUCUUCUGCAAGGAACAACAGUGGAGGAAGAAAUAAUUUCGAUGGAAAGAAGGAGAAACAAUGGUGGAUCCAGUGGUAGUGAAGAAGAUGUAGAUGAUCCUGGUCUGCCCUCACAAAAUGAAGUCUCCACUAUUCAGGGUAACUUAGUUAAUGCUGUUCAAGUAAAUACAGGACCAUAUAAAGGCUGGAAAUUAUAUUUCCUGAAGAGGGUAAGAAUGUUGUAUGCUAUUUUUGUUUCACACAAUUUUAUCAUUUAUGGAAGAAUUUCAGCAGAAAAUAUAAUUGAAUUGAAUUUAUCAGAAGAGAACCAUUUUGAUUACAGUGUUCGCAUUUUAUCUUUAUUUCAAAAAGUGCCCAGAAUAGUAAUGGCGUUUGUUUCUUGACCAUAAAUUUGUUAAUUUUGAAAGCAAAGGUUGUGUUUUUAUAACUGGACGUGCAUUAAGUACUUUUUUAGUCAAGAGAGAAAUGAUUGCUAGAAGUUAUUGAAAACACUGUAAUGAGUCGGUUCCCUUUUAUAAAAUUCAAUUCAAUUCAUGUAGUCAAGGAUGCAGAAAGUUCACAGUCCAUCAUGUUUUAAAUCGACUUUCCAUCUAUGUACCUACAAACUCCUUUUUAAAUGCUAAUUUCAUUUUGUGCCAUUAGCUCUAAGUUUUUGCUGCAAGUACAUUGAAAAAUAGAAAUAGAAAAAUUAAGCAGCCUGAUUUUGGAGGAAAAAAUAUUUGUAUGAAAAUGUAAAUGAGCAAUUUAUUGAAUUAUGUAUUAGAAAACGAAUUCUUUCGAACAUCAAGUUUUUUAAGGCAACCACUCAUAGCUUCCUUACUCUAGCCAGCCUAAUUUUCAUAGUUGGGCAUAGACCAAUAUUAUUUGAUCAUAAUUACUCUUAUUUUUUUCUCCCCAGCAUAUCGUGAUGGAAAUCCAACCGUGCAUAAAAUCAAGGUUUUUGAGCUCUACAUUCAGAAGAAUAAGCAGUUUUAUUCGCCCUCAAAUAUUCAGAAUCAAAAAGCAUUUCCGGUCGAUGUUAAAAGCCUUAUAGCUGACGAGGAGUUUUUAGGAGAAUGGUCCAGUUUUAAUGAUGAGUUGACAAACAAUCCAGAGCAUGUUU
rnacentral:lncRNA from 1 species